AAUGGCAUCGGUGGUGUAGUGAGCUUGGACGACUUAGACAACAACCUCAGUGGUGGGAGACUUGAGAGAGUCAAGAUGGGGGAGGUCGUUCUCAGAGGAAAUAGUGUACCUGAUGACAGGUGUGGAAUGUCCCUUUUAUAAGCAGGCAAGGAGACAAAGUCGUUGAGGUUGUUACGACCAGCGGUUACGGCUGUUGGGCCCCCAGGUCGGUGGUCGGACAUGAGGUCGGAUCCUUUAGGUCGAGCAAAAUACAACAAAUAUAACGUAGAGUUGUGUUGUUAGUUCGUGAGAAAAUAAAGCAUUUGGAUAUGAAAUUGGGGCUAGGUAUAUUUGGGUAUGGCUCCAGUUAUUGGAAAUAUUUUACUUUUUUGAAGUUUUAAGUUUAAUUCUAGAGGGA